rnacentral:rRNA from 1 species
AGUGAACGCUGGCGGUAGGCCUAACACAUGCAAGUCGAACGGCAGCACAGAGGAGCCUGCUCCUUGGGUGGCGAGUGGCGGACGGGUGAGGAAUACAUCGGAAUCUACUCUGUCGUGGGGGAUAACGUAGGGAAACUUACGCUAAUACCGCAUACGACCUACGGGUGAAAGCAGGGGACCUUCGGGCCUUGCGCGAUUGAAUGAGCCGAUGUCGGAUUAGCUAGUUGGCGGGGUAAAGGCCCACCAAGGCGACGAUCCGUAGCUGGUCUGAGAGGAUGAUUAGCCACACUGGAACUGAGACACGGUCCAGACUCCUACGGGAGGCAGCAGUGGGGAAUAUUGGACAAUGGGCGCAAGCCUGAUCCAGCCAUACCGCGUGGGUGAAGAAGGCCUUCGGGUUGUAAAGCCCUUUUGUUGGGAAAGAAAUCCAGCUGGCUAAUACCCGGUUGGGAUGACGGUACCCAAAGAAUAAGCACCGGCUAACUUCGUGCCAGCCGCCGCAGUAA